GUCAGAAUAAUUACCAUUAUACAUUUUUUUUUUAUUCAUUUUUUCCAUCUAAAAAAUCAGCCUUUCGCAUGCUUAGUUAAUGCCUUUACCUAAUUUGCAUACUGCUGAUAUAUGCAAAUUAGACAAAGGCAUUAAUUACGCAUGCAAGUAGUUAAAGGGCUUAAACUAAAGCAAAUUGUCUGACAUUUUGUACAGUAAUUAAAAACCCGACGCAUUUUCCAUCUAUUAACUCAAAAUAUGAUUAAAGCUUUUAAAUUUCGUGCUCAAGCCAAUUUUAGUUUGUUGGAAAAGACACCCCCGUCCCGGUCACAAAAUUUGAGGUCGAGAAAUUUUUUUCCAUUAUUCUACAUUAUAAGUAGCCAAAGAAGCCAUAUAUGUAAAAAAAACCUGGAUACUGAUAGCUGUUUUGCGAAAUUGAGAGCAAAUUCAAAUCUGUUCAGGUUUUUUUAUACACCCUGUAUAUCUAUACAAACACGUUCAGCUCAAUACAGUCGGCCUUUCUAAUUAUUAGACUUUUCAUUGUCACUCUCCUCCGCAGAUGCUUUGUAGUUUGUUUUCUUUGUUUUUUAUUCACCC